AUAAUACUGUUUAUUGUCCACGGACCGAGCGAUUGCUCAAGAAUGAUACAAAGCAUCAGAGACAUGCGCAGUCUGCUUGUCAACUUUCAACAACUCUUGUGUGUUCCCAGCACCGGAAGGUCUCAGACUUCAUAUUCCAGCAUAAACACAGUGCUCCCCUCCCCCAAAAAUCCAAACGGAAACAAAAUCAACAGAGCUUUAAAUUACGGCAGCAAGUCCAAUAUUUCUUAAUACUUAUCAAGCAAAGAUUUGAAAAUAACUACAAUGUAAACUUUAUUUUAAAUAUUUUGAGUUGCUUGCAGGAUGAAAAUAGGAGAAGAGAGCUGUGCUUAGAACAUAACAUAUAAAUUAAACGAUGCCAAAUGGAGAGCCUUCUUAAACUAUAUAUAUAUUGCCACUAUUUAUUGUGAAGGUAUUUGAGCGGCUUCCUCUGUCAGCUGCCACCCGGCUCUUCUUAACCUGUUUUGUUUUCUGCUCAGCACGGUUAAAAGACCAACGUGUGUGGAUCAAAUAUAAAGGCCACACCUUUCAGACCGAACCUACUCAAAGAUCCUUUACUUUGCAAUAAUUUGAACUGGAGAACCAAAGACGGGAGACGAAUGAAAGCAAAGAUGCUCAAAGAACCAAAGGAAAGACCUGAAGGAAUCCACCUGCAUAGGCCACGCGUUCCA
rnacentral:lncRNA from 1 species